rnacentral:rRNA from 1 species
UAAUACAGAGGGUGCGAGCGUUAAUCGGAAUUACUGGGCGUAAAGCGUGCGUAGACGGUUUUGUAAGUCGGAUGUGAAAUCCCCGGGCUCAACCUGGGAAUUGCAUUCGAAACUGCAAAGCUUGGGUGCGGAAGAGGGAAGCGGAAUUUCCGGUGUAGCGGUGAAAUGCGUAGAUAUCGGAAGGAACAUCAGUGGCGAAGGCGGCUUCCUGGUCCAGCACCGACGUUCAGGCACGAAAGCGUGGGGAGCAAACAGGAUUAGAUACCCUGGUAGUCCACGCCAUAAACGAUGAGAACUAGACGUUGAGAGGGUAAGCCUCCCAGUGUCGUAGCUAACGCGCUAAGUUCUCCGCCUGGGGAGUACGGCCGCAAGGUUG